rnacentral:tRNA from 1 species
GCGGAUGUAGCUCAAUGGUAGAGCCCCAGUCUUCCAAACUGGCUACGCGGGUUCGAUUCCCGUCAUCCGCUCCAUUU